CAGUGGCAUCAUCCCCGCAGUGGCUGGGGCCGGAGACGCGACUUUUCAGGACGCUCCUCAGCCAAGAAGAAGGGCGGAAACCACAUCCCCGAAAGGUGGAAAGACUAUCUCCCAGUUGGACAGCGGAUGCCUGGGACUCGUUUCAUUGCUUUCAAAGUUCCUUUGCAAAAGAGUUUUGAAAAGAAACUUGCUCCAGAAGAAUGCUUUUCCCCUUUGGAUCUUUUUAACAAAAUCCGAGAACAAAAUGAAGAACUUGGACUGAUUAUUGAUUUAACAUAUACUCAACGCUAUUAUAAACCAGAGGAUUUGCCAGAAACUGUUCCUUACUUAAAAAUUUUUACAGUUGGACAUCAAGUGCCUGAUGAUGAGACUAUUUUUAAAUUCAAACACGCUGUUAAUGGGUUUUUGAAAGAAAAUAAAGAUAAUGAAGUGAGAAGUAGAAGAAAAGAUUAAAAAACUCUGAGUCUUAGAGUUAUGUGAAAGAGACAAGAAAGGGCAAAGAUUAAGAAUGGGACGGACCCCUAGAAGCAAAACAAGAAAGAGUGCACCAGUGGAAUUGCCCCUUUGUCAUAUGUAUUUAAGACACAUGUAUACAUAUGUAACAAACCUGCACGUUGUGCACAUGUACCCUAAAACUUAAAGUAUAAUUAAAAAAAAGAUAUUUCUGCUGUU
rnacentral:lncRNA from 10 species